GGUUCCUGCUCUUCCCAGGCUGGAAUUGAGGGGGUUUUUUGAGGGAUAUCAGGUGGUUUUAGGUAAUACCAAGUUCCUGCUAUUCCCAUGCUGGAACUGAGGAGUUUUUUGAGGGAUAUCAGGUGGUUUGGGGUCUUAAGAGGGCAUUGGUGAGCUCAGGUGGAGACUCAUCCCUGCAGGAUUCCAGCCUGAAUUCCCAGGAGGGCUGGAUAUUCCAGGUUCCUGCUAUUCCCAGGCUGAAAUUGAGGUGUUUUUUGAGGCAUAUCAGGUGGUUUUAGGUAAUCCCAAAUUCCUGCUAUUCCCAUGCUGGAACUGAGGGAUUUUUUGAGGGAUACCAGGGAGUUUUGGGUCUUGGUGAGCUAAGCUGGAGACUCAUCCCUGCAGGAUUCCAGCCUGGGUUCCUGGGAGGUUGAUUAUUCCAAGUUCCUGCUGUUCCCAUGCUGGAACUGAGGGUUUUUUUGAGGGAUAGCAGGUGUUUUUAGGUAAUCCCAAAUUCCUGCUAUUCCCAGGCUGGAACUGAGGGUUUUUUUGAGGAGUACGAGGGGGUUUUAGGUAAUCCCAAGUUCCUGCUAUUCUCAGGCUGGAACUGAGGGUUUUUUUGAGGGAUACCAGGUGGUUUUAGGAAAUCCUAGAUUCCUGCUAUUCCCAGGCUGAAAUUGAGGUGUUUUUUUGAGGCAUAUCAGGUGGUUUUAGGUAAUCCCAAAUUCCUGCUACUCCCAUGCUGGAACUGAGGGCUUUUUGAGGGAUACCAGGUGGUUUGGGUCUUAAAAGAGCAUUGGUGAGCUCAGGUGGAAACUCAUCCCUGCAGGAUUCCAGCCUGGGUUCUUGGGAGGCUGAUUAUUCCAAAUUCCUGCUAUUCCCAGGCUGGAACUGAGGGGGGUUUUGAGGGAUACAAAGUGGGUUUGGGUCUUAGAAGUGCAUUGGUGAGCUCAUCCCUGCCAGAUCCCACCCUGGAUUCUUGGAGAGCUGCCGUGAGUAUUCCGGGUUCCUGCUCUUCCCAGGCUGGAACUGAGGGGGUUUUUGAGGGAUAUGAAGUGGUUUUAGGUAAUACCAAGUUCCUGCUGUUCCCAUGAUGGGGGAAUUGAGGGGGUUUUGAGGGAUAUCAGGUGGUUUGGGGUGUUAGAAGUGCAUUGGUGAGCUCAGGAGUAGACUCAUCCCUGCAGGAUUCCAGCCUGAAUUCCCAGGAGGGCUGGAUAUUCCAGGUUCCUGCUAUUCCCAGGCUGGAAUUGAGGGGUUUUUUGAGGGAUACCAGGUGGUUUUAGGUAAUCCCAAAUUCCUGCUGUUCCCAUGCUGGAAUUGAGGGCUUUUUGAGGGAUACCAAGUGGUUUUGGGUCUUAAAAGAGCAUUGGUGAGCUCAGGAGUAGACUCAUCCCUGCAGGAUUCCAGCCUGGGUUCCUGGGAGGUUGAUUAGUCCAGAUUCCUGCUGUUCCCAGGCUGGAACUGAGGGGGUUUUUGAGGGAUAGCAGGUGUUUUUAGGUAAUCCCAAAUUCCUACUGUUCCCAGGCUGGAACUGAGGGGUUUUUCGAGGGACACCAGGUGGGUUUAGGUAAUCCCAAAUUCCUGCUGCUCCCAUGCUGGAACUGAGGGAGUUUUUGAGGGCUACCAGGUGGUUUUGGGUCUUAAAAGAGCAUUGGUGAGCUCAGGAGUAGACUCAUCCCUGCAGGAUUCCAGCCUGGGUUCCUGGGAGGUUGAUUAUUCCAAGUUCCUGCUAUUCCCAGGCUGGAACUGAGGGGUUUUUUGAGGGAUAGCAGGUGGUUUUAGGUAAUCCCAAAUUCCUGCUGUUUCCAUGCUGGUAUUGAGGGUUUUUUUGAGGGAUACCAGGUGGUUUUAGGUAAUCCCAAAUUCCUGCUAUUCCCAUGCUGGAACUGAGGUGUUUUUUUGAGGGAUACCGGGUGGUUUUAGGUCUUAGUGAGCUCAGGUGGAGACUCAUCCCUGCAGGAUUCCAGCCUGGGUUCCCGGGAGGUUGAUUAGUCCAAGUUCCUGCUAUUCCCAGGCUGGAGCUGAGGGGUUUUUUGAGGGAUUACCAGGUGGUUUUAGGUCUUGGUGAGCUCAGGUGGAGACUCAUCCCUGCAGGAUUCCAGCCUGGGUUCCUGGGAGGUUGAUUAUUCCAAGUUCCUGCUGUUUCCAUGCUGGAACUGAGGGUUUUUUUGAGGGAUAGCAGGUGGUUUUAGGUAAUCCCAAAUUCCUGCUAUUCCCAUGCUGGAACUGAGGUGUUUUUUUGAGGGAUACCAGGUGGUUUUAGGUAAUCCCAAAUUCCUGCUAUUCCCAUGCUGGAACUGAGGUGUUUUUUUGAGGGAUACCAGACGGUUUUAGGUCUUGGUGGAGACUCAUCCCUGCAGGAUCCCAGCCUGGGGCUUGCAGGUGGGUGUCAGGGAACAAUUGAGAUGAAUUUUUAGGGAAAAAUAGGAAGGUUUGCUCUGAUUUUUAACUGCUGGCUGCCCACCCAGCUGCUUUAUCCCUCAUUUUGGGAUGUGAGGAUGGAUGGAACAGAAUGGCAAACCUGUAAAACAGGUUAUUUCACUGAAAACUCACUGUAGGGACCCUGUGGUGUAUCAAGGGCAACUUUUUUAUCCAGCAGAUCCUGGAGAACCCUGCUGGGAUGCCCAAAAGGUCUCCCAGCUCCCUCAGCAUCCAACAGCCAUCCAGAGGCCGGAAUCUCUAUAACAACACAGGAUCUUAACAGCAGGAUCCCAUCCCUUUUUUUUGGGAGACCAGAAUCUUCUCCAAGACCAUUUGUGGUCCAUAUCAGGGCCACAGUUGUGUCACCUCCUCACUUGAUAGAAGGGAAGGCUCCAGGGAGACCUUGGAGCCCCUUCCAAGAGAAGGGGGAGAGGGAGAGCUGGAGAGGGAAUUUGGACAAGGGAUGGAGGGACAGGAUAAGGGGGAAUGGCUUCAAACUGAAAUGUGGGAGCUUUAAAAGGGAUAUGGGGAAGGAAUUCCUGUCUGGGAGGGUGGGGAGGGUUUGGGCUGGAAUUCCCAGAGAAG